rnacentral:rRNA from 1 species
UACGUAGGGGGCUAGCGUUGUCCGGAAUCAUUGGGAGUAAAGCGCGUGUAGGCGGUCCGGUAAGUCCGCUGUGAAAGUCGGGGGCUCAACCCUGGGAUGCCGGUGGAUACUGUCGGGCUCGAGUCCGGAAGAGGAGUGUGGAAUUCCUGGUGUAGCGGUGAAAUGCGCAGAUAUCAGGAGGAACACCAAUGGCGAAGGCAGCACUCUGGGACGUGACUGACGCUGAGACGCGAAAGCGUGGGGAGCAAACAGG